rnacentral:lncRNA from 1 species
CUAAUGCAACCUCGCCUGCUCGCACUGCUCCACCUCCCCCAUACGUUGGAGGAGUUCCACGCCUGCCUCCUCUGCUCCCACGGCCGCAACGGCACCACGACGCGCGUCGUCGGGAGCCACCAGGAUGUCUGCUACCUACCCCUUCUCAAGGAGUAGCUCUCCGAGCCAUGGACUGGCGCGAGUGAGGCACCGUCAUCGAGGUGAAGGACCAAGGCCAGUGCGUCAUGUUGCUCUCUUGCUCCAUCACCAAUUCAGUAUUUUUAGUAGCUUUUUCUGCAAGCAGAUCUCAAAAUUCCGGAGAAUGUCUCGAAGUGCAUAGAUUGAAAAAAGUAGCAUAAGAAGAAUGGAUUUGUGGAAUUGAUUAUUUUCACAAGACUGCAAAUCAGAGUAGAUGUUUUUCGACCAUGCUUUACUCUAAACGCUUUAUGAAGCAUCUCAGCGUGCGUUUCAGCUCUACAGUUCUAUAAUCCAUCCAAGUAUCCAUGUAUGUAUGCUCAACAACAUCUAUUUGCUCGAUCGAUACUUGUUGGGUUUUUGAAACUGGGAGCAUGUGGAUAGAUGAGAAGGAUUGGAAUCAUUAUGUUUUGCCUAUUUGGUGGUAAAUCAGUACUACAUUUCUAUGUAACAUUGUUUUUAUAUACGUGUAGCUCUGUUUGGCUUUGGCAGAAGUAGAUCACCGAUAUUGGAGAAU